GACGAACGCUGGCGGCGUGCCUAAUACAUGCAAGUCGAGCGCGGGAAGCGAGCUGAAGCCCUUCGGGGCGGACGCUCGUGGAACGAGCGGCGGACGGGUGAGUAACACGUGGGCAACCUGCCUGUAAGAUCGGAAUAACUCCGGGAAACCGGAGCUAAUGCCGGGUAACACCUUCUUUCGCAUGAAGGAAGGUUAAAAGAUGGCUUCUUGCUAUCACUUACAGAUGGGCCCGGGGCGCAUUAGCUAGUUGGUGAGGUAACGGCUCACCAAGGCGACGAUGCGUAGCCGACCUGAGAGGGUGAUCGGCCACACUGGGACUGAGACACGGCCCAGACUCCUACGGGAGGCAGCAGUAGGGAAUCUUCCGCAAUGGACGAAAGUCUGACGGAGCAACGCCGCGUGAACGAUGAAGGCUUUCGGGUCGUAAAGUUCUGUUGUCAGGGAAGAACAAGUACCGUGCGAAUAGAGCGGUACCUUGACGGUACCUGACGAGGAAGCCCCGGCUAACUACGUGCCAGCCGCCGCAGUAAAAC
rnacentral:rRNA from 1 species